rnacentral:rRNA from 1 species
AUAAGCGGAGGAAAAGAAAUUAACAAAGAUUCCCUCAGUAACGGCGAGUGAAGCGGGACAUAGCCCAGCACUGAAUCCUUUCGGCUCCUGCCGCUUGGACCUGUGGUGUUUGGGGCCCCGGCUUUCGUCCAGUGUUCACGCACCUCAGUCGCAUUGAAGGGGCUCUCGCUCCACAGCGGGUGUCAGACCCUUAUGGCUGCGUGGCCGGACGAAGGUUCCAGGGGACCCUCGAGUCGGGUUGUUUGCGAUUGCAGCCCAAAGACGGUGGUAUGCACCAUCGAAGGCUAAAUAUUUCCACGAGUCCGAUAGCGAACAAGUACCGUGAGGGAACGUUGAAAAGGACCUUCUAAGUGAGAGUCAAAAGUACGUGAAACUGCCUACAGGGAAACGAGUGGCUCCGCAUAGUCGGCCAGUGGUGUUCACCUCGAGUUCGCUCGUGCCAGCAAUCCGCGUGUCAGUACGUCGGCCGAUGAGAUCGCAACAUCAACAUCUUCGGCAUCGACGACUGCGCGCGCUCUGUCUCGGUCGUGCAAUCUCGUGUGCAAUCGCCACACGGCAGGGCGUCACGAUCACUUUCGAGCGAGUCAACGUCUGCGAUGUUGGCGUGCUUGGCGCUUCGUUCCUUGUGGACGUUCGCCUGUGCGCGCGGCUCGUCUUCGAGCUUGCCCGUGAGUGUGUAACGAUACUCGUGCCAUCGUGGGCUGUAAGGUCGCGUCGUCUAACGGUGAACCGUCUUCGUGUGGUACACCUCGAAGUGUGCUCUCGUUUUGGUUCCUGUGGACUAUACCGAUCGGCCUGGCGCGACUUUGUAUCGGUGGCGAAUG